rnacentral:rRNA from 1 species
AUGGUAGCCAAAGCCGACCACCCCGCCUGGCUCCUCACUGCGGCCGAAGGCUACGUCGGUGACCGGUCCAACGAGAGGACCGCCAGAGGCAUCACGAGUAAGGGCCUGAGCAUCAAGGCGUCUUUUUUCCCCAACCGCCCGCCACAACCAUCAAAGCUGUGGGUGCACUGCCCAGAGGCCGCGGUCGUCCAGACUCCCCGUGUCCUCUACAUCGCCGGUGACCUGAUCCUCUUCCGGGUCCCCAUCUCUUCCGAUCCUGUCCCAGAAAACCGUUUCUUUUGGCCGCUGGAUAGCGACUAUUUCGUCUACCGCGCUGACCCCAAUUUGCGAGAGCUCAAGCUCCUCACCGACGUGCACAUCAGAAAUUUCGAAGACUGUCAGACAUCUAGCUGGACCUCCAUCGUGCCGCCUGUGGUGGAGCCACAGGAGGGCUUCAAUAUUGUCAUCCCCACUAACACGGAUCUUCAUCGCCAUGAUACUUCCAACGUUAUCACAAUCGGUGGUGAGUACGGCACCAUGGGUUGGGUCGAUCUCUGGCGAGGCAUCCUGUUUUGUGAUGUGCUGUGUGAGAAGCCAACUCUCCGUGGAAUACCAUUGCCGCUGCCGAUGUAUCAUAUCACAGGCGGCGAUGGGAUGGGAUUAUAUUUAGACCGUGCAAUGGAUUGCCGAGGCAUUGCCUUCAUCAAUGGCUGUCUCAAGUUCGUCCAACUGGACAUCAGCGGCUCUUGCCUCUUACAGUACAUAGACGGGGAAACAGGGUUUCCAACUUUGCUGGUGUCUGACUGGGCGAUCUCCUCAUGGACCAAUAAGAAGAUGGAGAAUUCUUACAAAGCUUGGGGGGAUGCUGAAUGCACGGUCCAAGCUUCUGAGGUCACAAUCAAAAGCGACAUGGUUUCACAACCGACUGGAAGGCUGCUGCUGCCAUCAGAGGAUAGUGUUGAGAACCCAGAACGAAAGGCAGCCUACUUACCGCACCUUGUGAUCUCUGACCCCUCUCCGAGCUUGGAUGGUGAUGGCGUUGUUUACCUAAUUGCCAGGGAGAAAUUAUAUCACCAAAAGUCAUGGGUCCUUGCUGUUGACAUGAAUAGCAAGACGCUGCGAAGUGUUGCUCCCUUUGGCAUGGUAGAAGACCCAUGUGAUUCUGUCGUGUAUUGCACUAGCAGGUCUGCCUCCAAUACUUGA